GUGAAUCAGCAUCUUCUGUAGGUGCACCAGUAGAAUACAAACCGUGAUUAAGAAAACCUGUCUUCUGAGACUCCUUCUGCGUCUCCACAUAUGGUUUGACAAUUCCGUUAGUAACUGCAAUAGGAUUAGUGCUCUCUUUUGUCAACAUUAUAUCAGAUUUCUCGGCCAAGCCUUCACUGCUUUGGGCAGAUCUCCGAUUCUCUAUCUCAAAUGACUGUCUUGCAUCCUGAUACUGAGGUGAUUUCCAGGUAUUCACACUUAACGGGAUAUUCAUUGGCUGGUGAGGAGCACCAGGAGCAAAUGUAGGUUGAGCCUGGUCCUUCUGUGACUUGUCCAAAAUAUCAUCCACAUUGUAAGCAAUGCCAUGCUCGACUAUAAGCAGAUUCUCACCUAUGUUUUUAACAGGUGCACCAGAUCUAGAGGCAUCAAAAGCCCUUCUAUU
rnacentral:misc_RNA from 1 species